rnacentral:lncRNA from 1 species
GUAGAAGCUGGAAGUCAGCGUUAAUGGUUACUUCUACGUUUCUCAAUGAUUUAUAACUUAUUUUUUCAUUUGUGAUGAUGUUAUUUUCUGGAUUUAUCAUUUUAGAGAAACAAGUCACAUUAAAAUGAUAUGAUUGAGUUAUAAAUAAAACGUGGUUGAGGUUUGUUGGUAUGAUUGUUUAUUCAUGCCACGUUUUGGUCAUUGAGAAACAUGAUUGUUAUUCAAUAGGAAAAACAAAACGUGGUGGUGCCUGGCAUAUAAACAAUCACGUAUGAUAAAAGAGAUAUUGAUUUUGUCAUCUCAACUUUAAGAAUACAUGAGUUAACUAUAGUAUUUUGAAAGUUAUGAGUAAUGAGUUAAAAUGUAAUGAAUCUUUGUUCCAAUAACACCAUAAUUUAAUAGAAUUAACAAAUCAGAAAAUACUCAACUUUUUGAAUAACAAAAGAUUUAUAUGAAAUUUUAAAAUCACCAAAGCAAUAACACAAGACUUUUUCGGAAUCUAAGAAUCAUGUUACCAAUAACAAUAGAAUCUUUAAAUUCUUCAACUCCUUCAAAAUCCAUCUCCCACU